UGGAAUAGAGAAUCGAGACCCUCGGUUCUCAAGCCUGGCUGUGGGUCACAAUCACCUGGACUGUUGAGCCCCACCCCAGGUGAGCUGGUGGCUGUUCAGUGACCCUGAUCUGUGACGUCAGCAGAUUUCCAUGGUCGGUCACUCCCACUGUGACUUGGAUAACUCCAUGUAAUCAAGGUGACGUCACCGAAGCGAUGCUAACCAUUGGCUCCAGCACACCACCAGCCCUUGUAUUUUUACCUCCUGCCAAGAGGGGGGUCACUGACCUCUGCGCACAGUGACUGCCAGCCAGCCGGGAGGAGGAACACAAAUGGACGUGAGACCCCUUCCUACCGAAAAACGCUCCGUCAGCAACCUUCACAUCCCCGUCUGCCCUCCGGGGCCAGAGGCCAAGACGGGCACAUGGACCUUCGGCGGCCUUCC